UUAUCAAAAACAUCGCUUUUUGACAUGAUAUAAAGUUUAACCUGCCCACUGAAAAAUUGAAGGGCCGCGGUAUUUUGACCGUGCAAAGGUAGCAUAAUCAUUAGUCUUUUAAUUAAAGGCUGGUAUGAAUGGUUGGACGAGGUACUAACUGUCUCAUUAAAAUUAAUUUAGAAUUUAACUUUUAAGUCAAAAGGCUUAAAUUUUAUUAGAGGACGAGAAGACCCUAUAGAGCUUUAUAUUUAAAAUAUUUGAUUUGUUUAGUUGAUCUUUAAACCAAUAAUUAAAAUAUUUCGUUGGGGUGACGAGAAGAUUAAAUUAACUCUUUUUAUAAUUUAACAUUGAUGUAUGAAUGUUUGAUCCAUAAAUAAUGAUUAUAAGACUAAGUUACCUUAGGGAUAACAGCGUAAUCUUUUUCAAGAGUUCUUAUCGACAAAAAGGGUUGCGACCUCGAUGUUGGAUUAAAGGUAAUUUUGGGUGUAGAAGUUCAAAAUUUAGGUCUGUUCGACCUUUAAAUCUUUACAUG
rnacentral:rRNA from 1 species